rnacentral:rRNA from 1 species
AGAGUUUGAUCCUGGCUCAGAUUGAACGCUGGCGGCAUGCCUAACACAUGCAAGUCGAACGGUAACGCGGGGGCAACCCUGGCGACGAGUGGCGGACGGGUGAGUAAUACGUAGGAAUCUGCCCAUUUGUGGGGGAUAACCCGGCGAAAGCCGGGCUAAUACCGCAUACGCUCUACGGAGGAAAGCAGGGGAUCGUAAGACCUUGCGCUAAUGGAUGAGCCUACGUCGGAUUAGCUAGUUGGUAGGGUAACGGCCUACCAAGGCGACGAUCCGUAGCUGGUCUGAGAGGACGAUCAGCCACACUGGGACUGAGACACGGCCCAGACUCCUACGGGAGGCAGCAGUGGGGAAUAUUGGACAAUGGGCGAAAGCCUGAUCCAGCCAUGCCGCGUGGGUGAAGAAGGCCUUAGGGUUGUAAACCCCUUUCAGCGGGGAAGAUAAUGACGGUACCCGCAGAAGAAGUCCCGGCUAACUCCGUGCCAGCAGCCGCGGUAAU